UACAGAGGUCCCAAGCGUUGUUCGGAUUCACUGGGCGUAAAGGGUGCGCAGGUGGUUCGGCAAGUUUGACGUGAAAGCCCCGGGCUUAACCCGGGAAUGGCGUUGAAAACUGCUUGAACUGGAGGGUCGGAGGGGGGACUGGAAUUCUUGGUGUAGCAGUGAAAUGCGUAGAUAUCGAGAGGAACACCAGUGGCGAAGGCGAGUCUCUGGACAACAUCUGACACUGAGGCACGAAAGCCAAGGGAGCAAACGGG
rnacentral:rRNA from 1 species